rfam:Lingula anatina scaffold1528, whole genome shotgun sequence.
GAAAAGGCCUUUUUCAAGGCCACCAUAUCAUUUCAGAAAAGCUAUA